rnacentral:rRNA from 1 species
UACGUAGGGGGCUAGCGUUGUCCGGAAUAAUUGGGAGUAAAGAGUGUGUAGGCGGCAGGGUAAGUAGGUUGUGAAAGUCGGGGGCUCAACCCUCGAAUGCCGGUGGAUACUGUCGGGCUAGAGUGCGGAAGAGGCGAGUGGAAUUCCUGGUGUAGCGGUGAAAUGCGCAGAUAUCAGGAGGAACACCGAUUGCGAAGGCAGCUCGCUGGGACGUAACUGACGCUGAGACGCGAAAGCGUGGGGAGCAAACAGG